UAGAUAUCGUGAGAAGACCAGUGCGAAGGCGGGUCUCUGACAGUUCUGACACUGAGGCACGAGGCCAGGGGAGCAAACGGGAUUAGAUACCCCGGUAGUCCUGCAGUAAACGGUGCACGUUUGGUGUGGGAGGAUUCGACCCCUUCUGCGCCGGAGCUAACGCGUUAAACGUGCCGCCUGGGGAGUACGGUCGCAAGAUUAAAACUCAAAGAAAUUGACGGGGGCCCGCACAAGCGGUGGAGUAUGUGGCUUAAUUCGAUGCGACGCGAAGAACCUUACCUGGCCUUGACAUGCAUCUCUAAGUUGGUGAAAGCCAGCGAGUCCCGAAAGGGACAAUUUGCACAGGUGCUGCAUGGCUGUCGUCAGCUCGUGUCGUGAGAUGUUGGGUUAAGUCCCGCAACGAGCGCAACCCCUGUGAACUGUUGCCACCGGCCCGCGAGGGUCGAGCACUCUGUUCAGACUGCCCUGUGAAACGGGGAGGAAGGUGGGGACGACGUCAAGUCAGUAUGGCCCUUACGGCCAGGGCUGCACACGUACUACAAUGCUCAGUACAGAAGGAUCCGAGACCGCGAGGUGGAGGAAAUCACUAAAACUGAGCCCAGUUCGGAUUGGAGGCUGCAACUCGCCUCCAUGAAGCCGGAAUCGCUAGUAAUGGCGCACCAGCUACGGCGCCGUGAAUACGUUCCCGGGCCUUGUACACACCGCCCGUCACAUCAUGGAAGUCACUUGUAGCCGAAGUGCGCGCGCCAACCCAGCAAUGGGAAGCAGCGCCCUACGCUAUGAGCGGUAACUGGGAUGAAGUCGUAACAAGGUAACC
rnacentral:rRNA from 1 species